GAUCAUUUCGUUGAUGCCUGUACUAAAAUUGGUACGACGUGGAGAUGGUUAGCGUGGCCCCUGCGCUAAGUAUGACACGCAAAACACUCAAAUUUGUUUUU